rnacentral:rRNA from 1 species
GGUUGACCUCGGAUCAGGUAGGGAUACCCGCUGAACUUAAGCAUAUCAAUAAGCGGAGGACCAAGGG